AGUCAUAUGCUUGUCUCAAAGAUUAAGCCAUGCAUGUCUAAGUGCAAGCCAAAUUAAGGUGAAACCGCGAAUGGCUCAUUAAAUCAGUUAUGGUUCCUUAGAUAAUACACCAAGUUACUUGGAUAACUGUGGUAAUUCUAGAGCUAAUACAUGCAAACAGAGUUCUGACUCGAGAGGGGAGGAACGCUUUUAUUAGAUCAAAACCAAUCGGUCGCUCGCGGCCGCAUUGCCUUUGGUGACUCUGAAUAACCACUAAGCAGAUCGCACGGUCUCGCACCGGCGACGCAUCUUUCAAAUGUCUGCCUUAUCAACUGUCGAUGGUAGGUUCUGCGCCUACCAUGGUUGUAACGGGUAACGGGGAAUCAGGGUUCGAUUCCGGAGAGGGAGCCUGAGAAACGGCUACCACAUCCAAGGAAGGCAGCAGGCGCGCAAAUUACCCACUCCCGGCACGGGGAGGUAGUGACGAAAAAUAACGAUACGGGACUCAUCCGAGGCCCCGUAAUCGGAAUGAGCACAACUUAAAUACUUUAACGAGUAUCAAUUGGAGGGCAAGUCUGGUGCCAGCAGCCGCGGUAAUUCCAGCUCCAAUAGCGUAUAUUAAAGUUGUUGCGGUUAAAAAGCUCGUAGUUGGACUUGUGUCCCACGCCGCCGGUUCGUCGCCCGUCGGCGUAACCGCGCGGUUUCCAAGUGGGACGUCCAGCCGGUGGUCGCGCAGGCCCUUUUUCUUGUCGGACCGUCGCCCCUCGGGGAGGCGCCCUUCCGGGGAUCGGGUACCGGCACCAUUCUACUCGCCUCGGUGCUCUUCAUCGAGUGUCUUGGCGGGCCGGCUCGUUUACUUUGAACAAAUUAGAGUGCUCAACGCAUGCUCGAACGC
rnacentral:rRNA from 1 species